UACGUAGGCAGCAAGCGUUGUCCGGAUUUACUGGGCGUAAAGAGCGCGCAGGCGGUCGGCCAAGUCGAGUGUGAAAGCCCCCGGCUCAACUGGGGAGGGUCAUUCGAUACUGGUCGACUCGAAGGCAGGAGAGGGAAGCGGAAUUCCCGGUGUAGUGGUGAAAUGCGUAGAUAUCGGGAGGAACACCAGUGGCGAAGGCGGCUUCCUGGCCUGUUCUUGACGCUGAGGCGCGAAAGCUAGGGGAGCAAACGGG
rnacentral:rRNA from 1 species